rnacentral:rRNA from 1 species
AUUGAACGCUGGCGGCAGGCCUAAUACAUGCAAGUCGAACGAGUGGCGGACGGGUGAGUAAUGCUUGGGAAUAUGGCUUAUGGAGGGGGCUAACUACGGGAAACUGUAGCUAAUACCGCGUGCCAUAGGCUGAGCACAAGUGGGAUUAGGUAGUUGGUAAGGUAAAGGCUCACCAAGCCGACGAUCUCUAGCUGGUCUGAGAGGAUGACCAGCCACACGGGGACUGAGACACGGCCCAGACUCCUACGGGAGGCAGCAGUGGGGAAUAUUGCACAAUGGGCGCAAGCCUGAUGGAGCCAUGCCGCGUGAAUGAAGAAGGCUUUCGGGUUGUAAAGUACUUUCGGUCGGGAGGCGUUACCGACAGAAGAAGCACCGGCUAACUCCGUGCCAGCAGCCGCGGUAAUAC